ACAAGCAAAGUGGCAGUUGGUCAAGCCCCCCCCCCCCUCUCAAAAGCUUCAGACUCAGAAAUUGCCCAUACUAAGUAUAGCUCAUUAUGGGACUGGCUCUAAUGCCUGUAAUUCUGCACCAAGGCUGAAUUUUUAGAAAGAGACUUCAGAUCCAGUAUUAGGGGACCACUAAGGUCUAUAUAAAAGCAUCCAAAGAACACCAUGUCAUGGGACCUUUAA